GGAAGGAUGUCUGAGAAGUUGAAAGUGUCAGUUUUGAAAACCGGAGUAUUAAAAGGAACCCCGGGGGUUUGAAUCCGUCUCCAUCCA
rnacentral:tRNA from 1 species